rnacentral:lncRNA from 1 species
AAGGAGUAAACAAUCUGUGCGUGGAAUGGGGAGUGGUGAAUGUGGAACGGCGAUGAUAGAUCCCGAAAGAAGAUAACUGCUUGUUUUCUUCACCGCCACCAGUCUACCUGCUCUCUGCACACUCGGCAGAGCGCGGCAGGGCACCCCACGGAGCUGCACUAGUCACAUCCGGGCCCCACGCCGGUCGACGGCCGAUGCGAUGGAGGCACUACUCCGAGGCACUACUGGGAGGCCUGCGGCGCGGACGACGGAUGCGGCAGUUGGUCAAGACACGGCAGCCUACUCGAGGUGCUUCUCGCCUGGAGGACGCAGGCGAAUCGCGUUAUCCUAGCUGUGCCUCGUCAUGGUGCGAUGAGCCUUAAUAGACUAAUGCAUAUUCUUCCUUUGGUUGUAAUUCAUUUGCUGCUGCCCGCUGGGCUAAGGAGUAACUCUGUGCGCCUACUUUGUGCAGACGCUCGUCCAGUGCCGCCCUUCGUUUGCCGCACAUAUCUUUAUUUAUUCUUUGUUACAAUUCCGUCUUUGGUCAUUUUUUUUUUACCAUGGGGGCACUUGAAAGUUUUGUUUUUAAAUCUGUGGACAUUGAACCUGGAAUCGGUUUUUUGUCGGAUUUCGGUUUUGUUUUUGCACUGUGGAAAUAUCUCGUUCAAUAUUUUUUUAAGAUAGGGCGUGUUAAAACUUUUAGUCUCAUUACUCCUCUGUGCAUUCUAAAGUACUAUAAUGUGCAUCUCAAGUGUUUGGUGCUGUACUGUUAUUAUUUAUGGUUAAUCCAGUGCUGAUUUAUGGUUAAUCCAGUUUUUAUUCGAUUGAAUCGUUGUGUGUAAUGUGCAUGACAUCCGCGUACCGCCUGUAGCAGUGUUAUAUAUUUUCAUUUAUGCUGGAAAAUAAUAACUUUCUUGUUCA